AGUGAACGCUGGCGGUAGGCCUAACACAUGCAAGUCGAACGGCAGCACAGUAAGAGCUUGCUCUUACGGGUGGCGAGUGGCGGACGGGUGAGGAAUACAUCGGAAUCUACUUUUUCGUGGGGGAUAACGUAGGGAAACUUACGCUAAUACCGCAUACGACCUACGGGUGAAAGCAGGGGAUCUUCGGACCUUGCGCGAUUGAAUGAGCCGAUGUCGGAUUAGCUAGUUGGCGGGGUAACGGCCCACCAAGGCGACGAUCCGUAGCUGGUCUGAGAGGGUGAGCAGCCACACUGGAACUGAGACACGGUCCAGACUCCUACGGGAGGCAGCAGUGGGGAAUAUUGGACAAUGGGCGCAGGCCUGAUCCAGCCAUACCGCGUGGGUGAAGAAGGCCUUCGGGUUGUAAAGCCCUUUUGUUGGGAAAGAAAAGCAGCAGGUUAAUACCCCGCUGUUCUGACGGUACCCAAAGAAUAAGCACCGGCUAACUUCGUG
rnacentral:rRNA from 1 species